UUAGCUCAGCAGGUUAGAGCAUCUGACUGUUAAUCAGAGGGUCACUGGUUCAAGUCCAGUAGGGGGA
rnacentral:tRNA from 1 species